GGGGGGGGGGGGGGGGGGGGGGGGGGGGGGGGGGGGGGGGGGGGGGGGGGGGGGGGGGGGGGGGGGGAGGGAUGCAGGGAUGCAGGGAUGCUGGGAUGCUGGGAUGCAGGGAUGCAGGGAUGCAGGGAUGCAGGGGUGCAGGGAUGCAGGGGUGCAGGGAUGCAGGGAUGCAGGGGUGCAGGGGUUACAGGGAUGCAGGGGUGCAGGAGUGCAGGGUUACAGGGAUGCAGGGGUGCAGGGAUUCAGGGGAUGCAGGGAUGCAGGGGUGCACGGAUACAGGGAUGCAGGGGUUGCAGGGAUGCAGUGGUUACAGGGAUGCAGGACUGCAGGGAUUCAGGGGAUGCAGGGGUGCAGGGGUGCAGGGGUUACAGGGAUGCAGGGGUUAAAUGGCUGCAGGGGUGCAGGAGUGCAGGGAUGCAGGGGUGCCGGGGUUACAGGGAUGCAGGGGUUAAAGGGAUGCAGGGGAUGCAGGGAUGCCAGGAGUGCAGGGGUGCAUGGGUUACAGGGAUGCAGGAAUGCAGGGAUGCAGGGGGAUGCAGAGGUUACAGGGAUGCAGGGGUUAAAGGGAUGCAGGGGAUGCAGGGAUGCCAGGAGUGCAGGGGUGCAUGGGUUACAGGGAUGCAGGAAUGCAGGGAUGCAGGGGUUACAGGGAUGCAGGGAUGCAGAGGUUACAGGGAUGCAGGGGUUAAAGGGAUGCAGGACUGCAGGGAUUCAGGGGAUGCAGGGAUGCAGGAGUGCAGGGGGGGGGGGUGCAGGGAUGCAGGAGUGCAGGGGUGAAGGGGUGCAGGGGUGAAGGGGUUACAGGGAUGCAGGGGUUACAGGGAUGCAGGGGUGCAGGGGUGCAGGGUGCUGCUGUGCAUGCCUGUGACAGGCACAGCUGUGCCAGAGCCACCCCUCCCCACAGGACACUCUCUGAAGGAGCCCUGUCCCAGGCAGUGACAGCUGUGCCACGCAGGAGCCACUGCAGCCGUGAACAGCAGCAUUGAUGUGC
rnacentral:lncRNA from 12 species